rnacentral:lncRNA from 1 species
GGGGAGAAAAGUGUACGAUUAAAUCAAAUUAUAAUUUUAAUGUUUUUACAGGUUUUAAGGUGCUAAAAAAAAUUUAAUAAAUUUAGUCUAAAAUUGUUUAUUUUUGUUAUAGAAGAAAUUAAAAUGGGAGAGAAAUAUAAAUUUGUGGGGUUAGUGGAGCUGAAAAGCAACUUUUGAAAUAGAAGGGGAUGAGGAGUUGAACAGUUAUUUUCCUGGGAAAGUUAUGCAGAAGAUGUGAAAAGUGAAUUUAUUCUAUUGUUGAACGUGUGAGAGCACAACAACCCUUAGACAGGUAUAUCCAAAUUAUCCAAUACUCUUUUUAUUCAUCCAUUCACCUUAUAUGGCCCAUCUACCUUUAAAUCAUGCCCUCGCAUUAAUUGGG